GUGCCAGCAGCUGCGGUAAUACGGAGGGUGCAAGCGUUAAUCGGAAUUACUGGGCGUAAAGCGCACGCAGGCGGUCUGACAAGUCGGAUGUGAAAUCCCCGGGCUCAACCCGGGAACUGCAUUCGAAACUGUCAGGCUGGAGUCUUGUAGAGGGGGUAGAAUUCCAGGCGUAGCGGUGAAAUGCGUAGAGAUCUGGAGGAAUACCGGUGGCGAAAGGCGGCCCCUGGACAAAGACUGACGCUCAGGUGCGAAAGCGUGGGAGCAAACAGGAUUAGAUACCCUGGUAGUCC
rnacentral:rRNA from 1 species